UACUGUGUAAAUUCCAGAUGUUGAUGGGAUUCAUCUGCUAGCACAAUGGUUUGAUUUUCAGAUUCAUUGCUCCGAUGACAACCGGAUGUCAGAUUCAUUGCUCCUUGCGUGUGUACUAGUUGAUUUUGGAGGUUCUUUUAUAAUGGUAUUGGAUAUUUGCUGAUUUUUAUUUUUAUUUUAUUUUAUUUAUUUAUUAUUAUUAUUAUUAUUUUUGUAGUUGAAAUGCUGAAUUGAUUAAGUUUUUACAUAUGCCAAUUAGGCCGUAGACUACAAAUGCUAGUUGUUGUUUCCAUGUGUUUGAUGGAUGAACUAACUUGAAGGCUUCUUCUUCUUCUGUGCUAUUUCCACUAUUUAUCACCAGAGCAUACUGUUCCCAGCCUCAUCAUGAGAUCAGGAAGCAAGCUUGCUCAGAUCGGUGACGUAACAUUGCAUGCAGAGUAAAUUUUUUUAUAUUAAAUUAUUUUAUUUUAAUAAUUACAGAGUUGAAAUAUUAGAAUCCUUAAGAAUGGAUGGAGUCCGGAUAUUUUCCUACUUGAUUUUGUAACCUGGUCGCUGAAGUUAUGGUAUUGAUAUUUAAUGUAAACAGAUGUUAGGGGCUAUUGUCAGCCUCAUGGAAGAUAGACCUGAGCUAAAUGAAAAGGUGGUCCAAAUAUCCGGUAGUUCCGAGCAGGCUGAGAGAGCCCAGAGCCUUCUCCAGGGAUUUAUUCUGAGCACACAAGAUGCCACACCAAGCUAAAUCUGAGCUAUGGGUGUUGUAAAGCCGAGAUCUUGUAAGGUAGCAAUGGAUGCUUUCAGUUUUCACCAGUAAUCUGUUUUCCCAGAAUCUAGCAGUUAUCAACAAUCUUUGUAUAAAAGGUAA